AACGGGAAAGACCGAAAACCGAACAGAGUAGGCA
rnacentral:ncRNA from 1 species